GACCUGAUAGCACACUGGUUAGUGUAUCUGCUCUACUUACAUACCACAUUUGUUGUAAGUAGAAGAUCCCUGUUCGAUUCGGGGUCAGGUCA